rnacentral:piRNA from 2 species
UACAAAGAGCAUUCCAGAAUCUCAUUGCU